GUGAUGGGGGCCUCAGCACUAGGAAGGAGUGGACUGUUGGCGCACGCAGCAGCUUGAAUAAAUCUGAAAGUCACUACGCUGCGUAAGAGAAGCCAAAUAAAGCGCAUGCUGUGUACAGAGGGUGUCGAGAAUGCCUCCUACGUGACGGAAAGCAGAUCCGUGGUUCCCUGCAGACUGGCAGGAGCAGAUUCCAAAGGCACAGGAAGAAGCUUGCAGGUUUCCUUAAUGACAACAAAAAAGGGAGUAAUCCUACCCACUGUAAGAGUCAUGACUCUUGAUUGCAGCUGACAGAAACUCAUGACAGCCUGCUUUAGAUGAAGGGGGAGAGAAGGACUGGAAGAAUCUUGGAGUUGGGAAUGUCACACGUAAUUGAAGGAAGAACAAGAAAACUAUAGCAGCUGCUCCCAACCCCAGAACCUUUGCUGUCUUGGGACGGAUCACCGCUGCAAGAGGGGAAGUUGCUACUGUGAUGAAUUCUGCCAUGUGGCACCAGACUGCCACCCAGACCACAGUGUCCUCUGCAACCCUGGUAACUCACAUACAGGCCCGAUUCCACCUACAGCAAAGCUGGAUGCGAUGGCUGGCAGAGGCAAACCCUUUGCCUGCACUUCAGGCCAAAGCCGGGAUGUGGCCUAGAUGGUUCCUAAGGUCCCUGACAAUCCUGAGAUCUUGCAUCUUGUCUAUUUCAGGUCAAAGGUGCCUACAUGCUCCUUCUAGCUUUGUUUCCCU
rnacentral:lncRNA from 10 species